rnacentral:tRNA from 1 species
AAACAAUAGCAUUUAAAUGCAUACCGGUUUCGGCCCAGUAAGAGCGACCACCCGCAUUGUUUU